rnacentral:rRNA from 1 species
GACCUCAAAUCAGGUAGGACUACCCGCUGAACUUAAGCAUAUCAAUAAGCGGAGGAAAAGAAACUAACAAGGAUUCCCCUAGUAACUGCGAGUGAAGCGGGAAAAGCUCAAAUUUGAAAUCUGGCAGUUCUUUUGACUGUCCGAGUUGUAAUCUAGAGAAGUGUUACCUGUGCUGGACCAUGUACAAGUCUUCUGGAAUGGAGCAUCAUAGAGGGUGAGAAUCCCGUCUUUGACAUGGACUACCAGUGCACUGUGGUGCACUCUCAAAGAGUCGAGUUGUUUGGGAAUGCAGCUCAAAAUGGGUGGUAAAUGCCAUCUAAAGCUAAAUAUUGGCGAGAGACCGAUAGCGAACAAGUACCGUGAGGGAAAGAUGAAAAGAACUUUGGAAAGAGAGUUAAACAGUACGUGAAAUUGCUGAAGGGAAACGCUUGAAGUCAG